UAGGCAUAAGAGUUGCAUACAACUUAACAGCUUCUCUGUAUAGGAAAAUUAAAACGAAGGAAUCUAGGAUGUGAUUUUACCGUGUACUCCAAACUCAUAUUGAACAUUCUUUAGUGCAAAUUAGCACUACCUUUGCAAAAGGUAGUUAUUUCUCGUGUCUCCCAAAGUGGAGUUGUUUGCAAGGAGAGUUUGCGUAGGGUGGCUAGUACACUGUAAAUUCACAUCCUAAUUUAUCACUUAAUAAUGUUUGCAUGUGGACAGGCUCUUAGAUGGUUCACCAAAGCUCUAUGACAUGACACUGCUGACUGACUCCCAGCUGUGGGAAGUACUUUCAGAAGUUAUGUAGAAGUUUCAAAGUUCAAAUGGUGACUAAGAAGGACAUGUGGGGGCAUCUAAUUAAUCCUUGGUUUAACUCUACUCAUUCUUAGGAAGACACAGACAUGAAACUGAAAUGAAGAGUUUGGAAGAAGAUGCUAAUCUGGAAUUUAUCCUGGGAAAGUCAAAAGAAAGUUUAUUGGAAUGGAGGAACGGAGGUCUGAGAGGCUAUUAAACAGAAAGAUGUAACCACAAGCAAGUCACAUAACCAAACAGAGUAUUCAAGUCUGCCUUCAAUCAGCAUGUGAUAUUGCAGGUUUUCAAAGAUUAAGUAGAACAAUUCAGUGGAGCUGUUUCCUUGGUGAAGAAGCAUACUUUUUAAUCAGAUCAGGAUAUAUGGUCUUGGCAAGAUGUUAUGAACAUGUUGCAUACAGAAAACUUUGGAUUUGGAGACAAUAUUAGCAAAAGGAAGAUACAGAUGUUUAGUUUGGAAUGCCAUCACUAAGCUGCUGCUGAGAGGAAAAAAUGGCUUGUGGUUAAGGCAGUGAACUGAGAUUUCUGAGAUCUGAGUUUAAGCCAUAGGCUAUCACAAACUCCAUGUGUGACAUUUGGAAAAUCUUUAAUCUCCCCAUGUCUAUGUUCUCCAUUUGUAAAAAGGGUUGAUAAUGAUAAUUCUUUGUCUGCUUGAUCUAAUUAAACUGUAAAUGAUUUGAAA